rnacentral:rRNA from 1 species
UACGGGGGGGGCAAGCGUUGUUCGGAAUUACUGGGCGUAAAGGGCGCGUAGGCGGCCUUCUAAGUCAGACGUGAAAUCCCUCGGCUUAACCGGGGAACUGCGUCUGAUACUGGAGGGCUUGAAUUCGGGAGAGGGAUGUGGAAUUCCAGGUGUAGCGGUGAAAUGCGUAGAUAUCUGGAGGAACACCGGUGGCGAAGGCGGC